GACUCCGUGGCGCAAUGGUAGCGCUUCUGACUCCAGAUCAGCAGGUUGCGUUUUCAAAUCACGUCGGGGUCA
rfam:Nematostella vectensis strain CH2 x CH6 NEMVEscaffold_1791_Cont38707, whole genome shotgun sequence.